GCCUGGAUAGCUCAGUCGGUAAAGUAUGAGACUGUUAUUCUCAGAGUAGUGGGUUCAAGCCCCACUUUGGGCG